rnacentral:hammerhead_ribozyme from 1 species
AUCCAGCCGACGAGUCCCAAAUAGGACGAAACGCGCGUCAACCUGGAU